UACGAAGGGGGCUAGCGUUGUUCGGAAUUACUGGGCGUAAAGCGCGCGUAGGCGGACAUUUAAGUCAGGGGUGAAAUGCCGGGGCUCAACCUCGGAACUGCCUUUGAUACUGGGUGUCUGGAGUUCGGGAGAGGUGAGUGGAAUUCCGAGUGUAGAGGUGAAAUUCGUAGAUAUUCGGAAGAACACCAGUGGCGAAGGCGGCUCACUGGACCGGCAUUGACGCUGAGGUGCGAAAGCGUGGGGAGCAAACAGG
rnacentral:rRNA from 1 species